GAGGACAGGGAGGGGAAGCUUCUGGAAACAUGGGAACAUGGGGUGGGCAUGAGACCCUCGCAGAAGACAGAGAGCCUGAUGUUAGGAAGAGGCCCAAGGCCUCCAAAGGACCAGGCAGAUUUUCAGGGGGCAGGAGGGGGAAGGGCUGGUAAGAAAGGUCCUGUGAGAGAGGAAGCUGCUGUGAUUCAGAGAAGAGACUUCAAGCUGUGAGUGACCUUGGUUUCCGGUUCCUCUCACAGGCUGGAGAUUUCGGAAGUGGCAUGCAAAGAGCCUAGGUUUGGAGUUGGGGGGAGUUGGGUUUAGGAUCCCUAGGCUGGGGGUUGAGAGGUAAGAAAAGAAAACUUCAGUGUCCAAAUUUGUUCCUCCACCCGGAAGGCUUCUCUCUGGUUUCAAAGCACAUCAUUUCCCUCUCUGUGAGAGUUACAUAAAACCAAAGCAAAAUAAGCCCUGAUACCUUGGCCCCCAGACCUGCCUCUUUUCAAUGUCCCUCCCUGGUGUCUGGCCCCCAGCCCUAGUGGGGGUUCCCCUGAGAUGAGGGCUGUUCACUUUCUCUGACCACAUGGUUUCCGCUUCCGUGUGUCUUGUUUCCUAGGCUGAUAAAAAUACUGAGCCCUAGAGGCCCUGGCUUCCUCUGACCCCUUGAGGCCAAGACAGCAGGCAUCCUGUCCACCACAGUGGGGUGGGGAGGGGGGCCCAGGGAUCCCCAAGAGGUGACUCAGUGCCUACCAUGAAACACUGGGGAGGGGGAAGCAUGUGUAUCUUUUCUCUAGAGCGGGAACCAGGAGUUUAGUCUCAGUGGAGGCUGCGCUGGAGUUUGAUUUGAGAAACAAGAUUGGGAAAGAGACGAGUGAGAUGGAAAGGCAAUUUAGGGAUUGAGAUUGGGGCAGAUUUGGGUUAAGUUAGGAAAAAGAUCUGGGAGAAGCUAUUCAGUGCAGGUCAACUGAGCAUCUUGUAGCCCAAAGAUACAUUCAAACCCUGCUUCAAGUUUACAGUCCAGUAGGGGAGGCAGACCCAUACCUAGUUAACUGAGUCAAGGCUUGCUGAGUCAACUCCACAGUAAGGUUCAGUAGCUACAGAAAAGGGGCAGGUGAAUUCCAUCUGAAAACAUUGGAGGGGAGGCUCUGAGGAUGAGGGAGAGCAUUUGAAUUGGCUCUGAUGAGUGAGUAGGAUUUCAGUGGGUGGAAGGAGAUGGAGAAGCUCUGGAGGUAAGUAAAAUGGCUGGAGCACAGGCCGAGGAGUCAGAAAACCACAGGAUGUUCAGGGAAGAUGAGUGUCCUGAGGCAGAAGCAGCACAGGUAUGAGGGAGCAUGUAGUGAAGAAAAGACCACAGAAUGCCCGGCUCAGGGAUUUGGACUUUACCCUGUGAGCAGUGGCACUGGUGACAGCUGUGAAGAAGAGGGAGAACAGGGGAGCACUGCAGAGUGCAGGCAAGGGAUGAAAUAGAAAACAACUGUCGAUGGAAAACCAGUGUUCCCCCCCAAGAAAAGAGAAGAACUGUCUGGUUUUGGAUACCUACUAUGUGUUACACAGUCCUCUUCCUAACAUCAGCAAUCCUUUCAUCAUCUGUUCAAAAGGUGGGUGGUGGGUCCCCAUUAUAAAGAUGAGAAAAACCGAGGCCCAUAAACGUACUGUAAUUCACUUAAGGCCACAAAGCUAAGAAGUAGUGGAAUUAGCAUUAAAUUCAUCUGACUCCAAAA